CUACGGGGGGCUGCAGUGAGGAAUAUUGCACAAUGGGGGGAACCCUGAUGCAGCAACGCCGCGUGGAGGAUGACGCAUUUCGGUGUGUAAACUCCUUUUAUAUGUCAAGAAAAUGACGGUAGCAUAUGAAUAAGCACCCGCUAACUCCGUGCCAGCAGCCGCGGUAAUACGGAGGGUGCAAGCGUUAGUCGGAAUCACUGGGCGUAAAGGACGCGUAGGCGGGUUGGAAAGUCAGGUGUGAAAUCCUACAGCUUAACUGUAGAACUGCACUUGAAACUUCUAAUCUAGAGUAUGGGAGGGGGAGAUGGAAUUAGUGGUGUAGGGGUAAAAUCCGUAGAUAUCACUAGGAAUACCUAAAGCGAAGGCGAUCUCCUGGAACAUUACUGACGCUAAGGCGUGAAAGCGUGGGGAGCAAACAGGAUUAGAUACCCGCGUAGUC
rnacentral:rRNA from 1 species